rnacentral:rRNA from 1 species
CCUACGGGAGGCAGCAGUGGGGAAUAUUGGGCAAUGGGCGCAAGCCUGACCCAGCAACGCCGCGUGAAGGAAGAAGGCUUUCGGGUUGUUAACUUCUUUUGUCAGGGAAGAGUAGAAGACGGUACCUGACGAAUAAGCCACGGCUGACUACGUGCCAGCAGCCGCGGUAAUACGUAGGUGGCAAGCGUUGUCCGGAUUUACUGGGUGUAAAGGGCGUGUAGCCGGGUUGACAAGUCAGAUGUGAAAUCCUGCGGCUUAACCGCAGGACUGCAUUUGAAACUGUUGAUCUUGAGUACUGGAGGGGGAGAUGGAAUGCCCGGGGGAGCGGGGAAAUGCGGAGAUAUUAAGAGGAAGACCAGGGGCGAAGGCGGGUUGCUGGACAGGAACUGACGGGGAGGCGCGAAAGCGAGGGGAGCAAACAGGAUUAGAUACCCCAGUAGUC